GUCUACGGCCAUAUCACCCUAAACGUGCCUGAUCUCGUCUGAUCUCAGAGGCUAGGAAGGGCCGGGUCUGGUUAGUACUUGGAUGAGAGAUCCCAGUCCAGUCAACUGGGCC
ensembl:rRNA 5S_rRNA 5S ribosomal RNA